ensembl:rRNA 5S_rRNA 5S ribosomal RNA
GUCUACGGCCAUCCCACCCUGGCAACGUCCGAUCUCGGAAGCUAAGCAGGGUCGGGCCUGGUUAGUACUUAGAUGGGAGACCUCCUGGGAAUACCGGGUGCUGUAGGCU